rnacentral:rRNA from 1 species
UUGAACGCUGGCGGUAUGCUUUACACAUGCAAGUCGAACGGGCUAUGGGGCUUGCUCCAUAGUUAGUGGCGAACGGGUGAGUAAUAUAUCGGAACGUACCCUGUCGUGGGGGAUAACACAGCGAAAGCUGUGCUAAUACCGCAUACGACCUGAGGGUGAAAGCGGGGGAUCGCAAGACCUCGCGCGAUAGGAGCGGCCGAUAUCGGAUUAGCUUGUUGGUGAGGUAAAGGCUCACCAAGGCGACGAUCCGUAGCUGGUCUGAGAGGACGACCAGCCACACUGGAACUGAGACACGGUCCAGACUCCUACGGGAGGCAGCAGUGGGGAAUUUUGGACAAUGGGGGCAACCCUGAUCCAGCCAUUCCGCGUGAGUGAAGAAGGCCUUCGGGUUGUAAAGCUCUUUCAGCAGGAACGAAACGGUGGCUACUAAUACUAGCUACUAAUGACGGUACCUGAAGAAGAAGCACCGGCUAACUACGU